rnacentral:rRNA from 1 species
GACAGAGGGUGCAAACGUUGUUCGGAAUUACUGGGCGUAAAGCGCGUGUAGGCGGCUAAGUAAGUCGGAUGUGAAAUCCCUCGGCUCAACUGAGGAAGUGCAUCCGAAACUGGCAAGCUUGAGUACGAAAGAGGGUCGCGGAAUUCCCGGUGUAGAGGUGAAAUUCGUAGAUAUCGGGAGGAACACCGGUGGCGAAGGCGGCGACCUGGGUCGAUACUGACGCUGAGGUGCGAAAGCGUGGGGAGCAAACAGG